AACGAACGCUGGCGGCAUGCCUAACACAUGCAAGUCGAACGAGACCUUCGGGUCUAGUGGCGCACGGGUGCGUAACGCGUGGGAAUCUACCCUUGGGUUCGGAAUAACAGUUAGAAAUGACUGCUAAUACCGGAUGAUGACGUAAGUCCAAAGAUUUAUCGCCCAAGGAUGAGCCCGCGUAAGAUUAGCUUGUUUGUGGGGUAAUGGCCUACCAAGGCGACGAUCGUUAGCUGGUCUGAGGGGAUGAUCAGCCACGCGGGGACUGAGACACGGCCCAGACUCCUACGGGAGGCAGCAGUGGGGAAUAUUGGACAAUGGGCGAAAGCCUGAUCCAGCAAUGCCGCGUGAGUGAUGAAGGCCUUAGGGUUGUAAAGCUCUUUUACCAGGGAUGAUAAUGACAGUACCUGGAGAAUAAGCUCCGGCUAACUCCGUGCCAGCCGCCGCCGUAA
rnacentral:rRNA from 1 species